UGAGGGGGAGGUGGCCUCGGGCGGGGCUCAUAACCCCGCCGCUGUCGGUUCGAUUCCGGCCCCCUCGACCA
rnacentral:tRNA from 1 species